UAUUUUCUCCCCCGUAAUUCUGUCUUGACACAAUAUCCUGCUGAAGGAACAAGGAGACAACUUGGCACAGGAAGAUAAAUAUUGCAGUGGGGAAAUGUCAGCUUUUUAAAUGAAAACCACUGGAGCUGAAAAAUCUACUCCCUGUGUGAUAGCAGGAAGUAUGCUAUGUAGCCAUCGAGAUUGGCAGGAAGUUGGACAGAGGGAAAAAUCAUCGGUGCUCUUCACCUUAAAACAGUAAUGAAUGAAGAAUUGAAGGGCCAAACAGACUUGGGGUUGGUGCGGAACAUGUAGAAAUGAGAUUUCAUGUAUAAAAUUGUAAGUG
rnacentral:lncRNA from 1 species